CUCGUAGGCGGCUUAGUAAGUCGGUCGUGAAAUACCGGGGCUCAACCCCGGGAUGUCGAUCGAAACUGCUAUAGCUUGGGUCCGGUAGAGGAGAAUGGAAUUCCCGGUGUAGCGGUGAAAUGCGCAGAUAUCGGGAGGAACACCAACAGCGAAGGCAGUUCUCUGGGCCGGUACCGACGCUGAGGAGCGAAAGCGUGGGGAGCGAACAGGAUUAGAUACCCUGGUAGUCC
rnacentral:rRNA from 1 species